AACCACCAUCAUGUGCUUCUUUU
rnacentral:snRNA from 1 species